UACGUUGUUCACUGCCAUUGUAGCUG
rnacentral:piRNA from 1 species